GGUACAACUCUUUUGGCUACAAGAUGUAAAAUUUAGAUAAACCUAAAUUCCUCAACUAACUAAAGGGGCAACAACAUUUAGACAUGACGGGGGGGGGGGGAGGGGGGGGAGGGGGGUCCGAGAUUUCUUAGGCUAAAGGAUCACACCGUGAAACAUAAAUAAUACUUUUUAACACUUAAGUGCAAUGGUUUCGCAUAUUAUCCAGCAAGCACAAACUAUCAUUUCUAGCUACCCGAUUACUAUCUUCAAUUGUUUACCUAAAGCGCACUAAUUCAAUCUAAGUUGUACCCUAUAUAUGUCUACCUAUCCCAUGCCUAUGGUCCAGGAGGUAUUGGACCGCUAUACAAGUGGUUCUCGACUCAUCCUAGGCUUUUCAAAAUUAAAAUACUAGGUGCCACAUAAUUAACAAACUGAACUUCAUAAAAAGUACAGUUAGCACAAAUGGCUCAUGUUUACCUCCACAAAAGACCUGCAUGAAUGUCAACAAAUAUCGAUUAACAGUUAUGGAGAAAUGGCAGAAUUGAUAAGUGAAUUGCCCUAUGAAUAUGCUCUUCUAGUCGCAAGAUUAAGUCGGGCAGUCAUGAGCUAAUGCGCAUUGAAUUAAUUAGUCCUAAAAUACGGUUUCUAUGUGGAAUCGCAGACGACCAGUUGCAACUAAUUAAAUUCAGAACUUAUACAUGGAUAAUCAAAGAAGACAAACUUCAUUAUUUAAGUACUAUGGGCAAGAUUUCUAAAUGAUUAUGAUUCAGACUGUUUUUAAAAUGACACAGGAGUUAAGUGAUACAAGUUCUUAUUUAUGGGACCUAUAGCCAUUAUUCCUAGGUAUGAAGUAUUAAGAGCAUAGUUUGUAGUAGGAUCAAUUGAACUAAUUAAAAAUCCCAUAUGCAUGAUACUAAAAUAUUAAAUCCUAAUACAUGAUACUAUAUGCAUGCUUUUAACCCAUUUAUGUAGUAAAUAAACUACCCCAAGCCCCUCUUAAGACUAUAUUCCCCAUCAUCUAUUUUUACAAGUUAUUACAGAUCAAAUAGAAUAGUUACAGGCACAAUUAUAAAACAACCCAAUAACGCAUCUGGGCCUUCAAAUAGACAUAGAACUUCAUGCGGGCGGCAAGCCCAAACUCUAGGUGCAAAGGCCACGCUGACAGUGUAUUUCUGACCUAAUACCAAACCUGGCCCAACAAACCAGUCCCAAAAGAAGCAACUACUUUGUUUACCCAUUAUUAUUAACAAGCAACAGGAACGCAAAGAACAUAAGUGAAAGCCUACGCAAAUCAGUUAUUUAGGCGACUUCAAAUUUAGGAAAGAACAUAUGCACAUUGGGUCCUUAUUUUUACAACUAACAAAGAACAAGAACCUUUAAAUAAUAUCAUAGGAUGUGAUAUUUAAGAGGUGAAAGAGCACAUAAAUAAGGAAAGGACACCUUUGAAAGUCUAUUAGCCUCAUAAAAUCUUAUGAAAUGGUAGGAACAUGAAGGGGGUAUACAAAACAUAUAGGUUAGAACAAACAUACAUCUGAUGGCUUUACCAGGUACAUAGAAUUAGUUCACAAUGACAGCCUCACAAAGAUAGACCUCCUAGAGUAGUCAGUACUUGAACGCAAAGAACAUAACAGACACGAGUCCUUCACAGGAAAGACUUAGCAUGAAAGUUUAACAUGGUCAUGAACUAAUCCUAGGAGGGUAACUAAAUACAAGCACUUACAGGAAAAGCUCUAACAUGAAAACCUAAAAAUAAAGCAUGGUCAAGGACUAAUUCUGAGGAGAUGGCAAAUACUAGUUCAUACAUGAAAGGCUUAGCAUGCAAAUCUAAGAUAAAAAAUAUCCAGGAAAUAAUUCCGAGAAGAUAACAAUAGCAGUCCUCACGGGGAAGACUUCAGCAUGAAAAUCUAAGGUAAUACAUAAUCAAGAACUUAAUCCUGAGAACAUAACAAGCAGAAGUCCUUACAGGAAAGACUUUACAUGAAAAUUCAGGGCAGACAUGGUCAUGAUUUAGUCAUAACAAAAAAUAAAUCCUUACACAAAGACUUAACAUUAACAUACAUGGAUCCUCAAAACAAUAUUUGACUAUGAAAUUGCAGCAAAUCAUACGACAAAAGUGCAAUAUUAGAGUUCACAAAUAGCAGGGUUACCUAAGUCAUGCUCGUCUAUUUUGAUAGGUGUUUACACAGUAUUGGCACACAAAAUACAUGUAACAUGAACAAGUAGAGAAGUAAGAAUUAAAACUGUAAGAGUCAAGAGCACUAACCAGUUGCAAAGAUAAAAGAGCAAAAGAGUAAGAAAAUUAGCAUUUCAGUAGUGGCUCAGUAGUAGCAAUUGAAGGAGGAUAGUGAGAACCCCAAGUCUCCGGUGCUUCAGAGUUAACAAGAGCCUCGAAAGGGCUUCGAGAAGUGCUUUCACUAGAGGAGGUAAUUAAGAAAUACCACGGUGGCCUUGUCCUUUAGCCGGAUAAGAACCAAAUCGAACACAAUAGUUUCAGAGAACCAGAACACAAUAUAACAAUUUGCGAGUGUUCGGGAGUAGUCAAUAAAGUAUGUUUAGGGGAAUUGCGGAAGGGGUUUAUAUAGUGUUAGAUUCACAUAAUCAGAAAAAGAAAAAGAUCAAUCAAAUAACAAAAUCGAAUAAAACUCAUGUAAACCUUAAUCGAGAAGAAAUCGACGGAAAUACGCAGGGACAUAGAAAUAUUCUCCCUUUCUGGAUUUACAGAGCCACAAUCGUGUCCGGAUCCAUAAGGUUGAAGUCAUAUCAACCCGAUUCAGGAGAAUCAUACUUUCCAUAGAUGGAUUGGUAACGAAUGUUACCAUAACUGAGCGAGUGAGCACGAAUAAAGUAUGUGAGCCUGCGUAUGGACGCGUAAAAAGGAAAGAACAGAGAAAAUCUUCAUGGCCGGCUAGGGUUUCAUCGUGAGCUAUGAAGAGAGUGACUGAGGGUGG
rnacentral:lncRNA from 1 species